GAUGAACGCUGGCGGCAUGCCUAACACAUGCAAGUCGAUCGGUAAGGCUCUUCGGAGUACAUGAGAGGCGGACGGCUGAGUAACGCGUAGGAACACACCCUGCAGUGAGGGAUAAGACACCGAAAGGUGUUCUAAUACCGCAUACGGUCUUCGGAUUAAAGCAUUUAUGCGCUGAAGGAGUGGCCUGCGUCAUAUUAGAUAGUUGGUGAGGUAAUGGCUCACCAAGUCGAUGAUGUGUAGCUGGUCUGAGAGGAUGAUCAGCCAGACUGGAGCUGAGACGCGGUCCAGACUCCUACGGGAGGCAGCAGUGAGGAAUAUUUCACAAUGAGCGAAAGCUUGAUGGAGCAAUGCCGCGUGCAGGAUGAAGGCCCUCGGGUUGUAAACUGCUUUUAUAAGAGAAGAUUAUGACGGUAACUUAUGAAUAAGGGACGGCUAACUACGUG
rnacentral:rRNA from 1 species